rnacentral:rRNA from 1 species
GAGUUUGAUCCUGGCUCAGAUUGAACGCUGGCGGCAUGCCUUACACAUGCAAGUCGAACGGCAGCACGGGGGGUAACCCCUGGUGGCGAGUGGCGAACGGGUGAGUAAUACAUCGGAACGUGCCCUGUAGCGGGGGAUAACCUCUCGAAAGAGAGGCUAAUACCGCAUACGACCUACGGGUGAAAGCGGGGGACCGCAAGGCCUCAUGCUAUAGGAGCGGCCGAUGUCUGAUUAGCUAGUUGGUGGGGUAAAGGCCCACCAAGGCGACGAUCANUAGCUGGUCUGAGAGGACGAUCAGCCACACUGGGACUGAGACACGGCCCAGACUCCUACGGGAGGCAGCAGUGGGGAAUUUUGGACAAUGGGCGAAAGCCUGAUCCAGCAAUGCCGCGUGUGUGAAGAAGGCCUUCGGGUUGUAAAGCACUUUUGUCCGGAAAGAAAUGGCUCUGGUUAAUACCUGGGGUCGAUGACGGUACCGGAAGAAUAA